GUUCAACUGUAACACUAUACCUUCCCAUAGAAAUAGGGUAGGAGGAGAUUUCUUGGAAACUGCUGGGACAGACACCAAAAAUAAAAGGCAUCUGGGCAACAAGUGGAGCUCCACAGCCAUAGUUCUGCUCCUCUUUGUUUGUUUUUCUGGUUGGUGUUUUCAUGUUAUCUUUUUCUCUUCAGGAUGUAUGUGGGAGGCUAUAAAUAUAUUGAGACUCUACAAAUGUUACUGUGGAAAUGAAUCUCUACUUUGUCCCUUUGCUUGUGGCUGUGCACCGAGGUGUGUACCUGGGAUUGAUGCCCAUGAAUGGAAUCUUCUGCUGCUGGGCUGCUCCAGGAAGAAUCUUCCCGUGAUUUACAGAAGGGUGAGCAGGAGUUUGACAUUUUAAGGCUGAUACUACCUAUGUGACAUAAGCGGAGAUGCUGUGUAGAAGCUGGGGAUAUUUGUUCUAAUUCAAGAUUGUAACAUUCUUGCCUCAUUGUGAUUUGCUUGGAACUUCCUGCAUGCCUGCGGCAAUGAGUGACUGGGGGAGAGAGAUGGCUUGUUCUGAAACAUGCAGGGAGGCAUCAUUACAAGGCCCAAACUACUCUAAAAUAGUCAAGCCUGGGAAGACUCCAGCCUAGAGACCCUCCCACAUGGCUGGAGGAAGAGCACACAAAAGUUUGCUUGUGCCGGUUUUACUGAGAACGCUACUUGUAGCUGUGAGCAAAACCACAAGAUUAGUGAUGAAAUGCAACCUCUGCUGCUUUUCAUGGCAGAGUGCUGUAGUACUGUAUGGUUUCAAUUACAGUGCUGGGACCCAGAUCGUCUCUGCAGUCAUGCUGGGGGUGAUGCUUCCUGCGGAUGCUGGGGAGCAGGUGUUUUAGGACUUCCCUACUGCCGUUCCACCACCUCCUAACUUAUUCCUGAUGCAUCUCGGGCUCACUGAGAGGUUGUUUUUGGAAACGUGAAGUACCAUCAGGCUGGGACAGACUGCACAGACCACUGCCUGCAUGCCCUUUCAGCCUGACUGUGAGUGCAAAAAAACAAACUUGGGAAAUGAGCAUUUCACUCCGAGGAGAAACGCGGCUGUGAAGGGCAGAUCUGCCUCCGGGUUUCAGCAGGCUAUUCUCCAGCCAUCUUCCAUUCAUGCUCCAGACAUCACUGGGAAUAAGAGCUAAACAAUUCCUGGGCUGUUUCAUAACGGAGAAACGAGCCUCUGUGAGAGUGGCUGUUGCAGUUUCUCCUUGCCAUGAUGGGUCUUCCUUUCACUGUGAUGAUGGAGUGGAGACACCCUGGUGGUUGACAUAAAUUUGCAAGUUUGCCGAUGAUACGAAGUUGGGAGGAUUGGCUGACAUGCCUGAAGGCUGUGCUACCAUUCAGCGAGACCUGGACAGGCUGGAG